rnacentral:rRNA from 1 species
GCAAGUCGAGCGAACAGACGAGGAGCUUGCUUCUCUGACGUUAGCGGCGGACGGGUGAGUAACACGUGGAUAACCUACCUAUAAGACUGGGAUAACUUCGGGAAACCGGAGCUAAUACCGGAUAAUAUAUUGAACCGCAUGGUUCAAUAGUGAAAGACGGUUUUGCUGUCACUUAUAGAUGGAUCCGCGCCGCAUUAGCUAGCUGGUAAGGUAACGGCUUACCAAGGCAACGAUGCGUAGCCGACCUGAGAGGGUGAUCGGCCACACUGGAACUGAGACACGGUCCAGACUCCUACGGGAGGCAGCAGUAGGGAAUCUUCCGCAAUGGGCGAAAGCCUGACGGAGCAACGCCGCGUGAGUGAUGAAGGUCUUCGGAUCGUAAAACUCUGUUAUUAGGGAAGAACAAAUGUGUAAGUAACUAUGCACGUCUUGACGGUACCUAAUCAGAAAGCCACGGCUAACUACGUGCCAGCAGCCGCGGUAAUACGUAGGUGGCAAGCGUUAUCCGGAAUUAUUGGGCGUAAAGCGCGCGUAGGCGGUUUUUUAAGUCUGAUGUGAAAGCCCACGGCUCAACCGUGGAGGGUCAUUGGAAACUGGAAAACUUGAGUGCAGAAGAGGAAAGUGGAAUUCCAUGUGUAGCGGUGAAAUGCGCAGAGAUAUGGAGGAACACCAGUGGCGAAGGCGACUUUCUGGUCUGUAA